AUGUGUAUUCCUGGAUUGUCCCAUGUAAGGCUCACCCUCCCGCCCCCCAAAGUGGUUGAUCGUUGGAACGAGAAAAGGGCCAUGUUCGGCGUGUAUGACAACAUAGGGAUCCUGGGAAACUUUGAAAAGCACCCCAAAGAACUGAUCAGGGGCCCCAGAUGGCUUCGGGGUUGGAAGGGAAAUGAAUUGCAGUGUUGUAUCCGAAAGAAGAAAAUGGUUGGAAAGCAAAUGUUCAUCGAUGACCUGCACAACCUUAAUAAACGCAUCCGCUAUCUCUACAAACACUUUAACCGACAUGGGAAGUACCGGUAG